rnacentral:rRNA from 1 species
GAUGAACGCUGGCGGCGUGCCUAAUACAUGCAAGUCGAGCGAACAGACGAUGUGCUUGCUCCUCUGACGUUAGCGGCUGACGGGUGAGUAACACGUGGAUAACCUACCUAUAAGACUGGGAUAACUUCGGGAAUCCGGAGCUAAUACCGGAUAAUAUAUUGAACCGCAUGUUUCAAUAGUGUAAGACGGUUUUGCUGUCUCUUAUAGAUGGAUCCGCGCCUCAUUAGCUAGUUGGUAAGGUAACGCCUUACCAAGGCAACGAUCCGUAGCCGACCUGAGAGGGUGAUCGGCCAAACUGGAAGUGAGACACGGAACAGAAUCAUAAGGGAGGCAGCAGUAGGGAAUAUUCCGAAAUGGGCGAAAGCUUGACGGAGCAACGCCGCGUGAGUGAUGAAGGUCUUCGGGUCGUAAAACUCUGUUAUUAGGGAAGAAAAAAUGGGUAAGUAAAUAUGCACGUCGUGACGGUAACUAAUCAGAAAGCCACGGCUAACUACGUG